rnacentral:sRNA from 1 species
CCUGGGCACAGUGGCUCAUACCUGUAAUCCCAGCACUUUGGGAGGCUGAGGUAGGCGGAUCACCUGAGGUCAGGAGUUCGAGACCAGCCUGGCCAACAUGGUGAAACCCCGUCUCUACUAAAAAUACAAAAAUUUGUCGGGCGCGGUGGCUCAAGCCUGUAAUCCCAGCCCUUUGGGAAGCCAAGGCUGGUGGAUCACCUGAGGUCAGAAGUUCGAGACCGGCCUGGCCAACAUGGUGAAACCCCGUCUCU